CCCAGGUCACCAACACUGACAAUUCCUGGCUUUUCAGAUGAACAGGCGAGGUCUCUGAGCUUCAUCACAUCCACCCUCUUUCCCCUCCCUCCCAAGAGGAAUUGCAUCUUUUGUCCGGAGACGCAGGGAACGGGGUGUUGACCAGAGGCAGUGUGACCCCCGCGUCCGUCAGGCCCCAAAAACUGCCCCCAUUGAGCAGAAGAGGCCUGUGUUUGGGAUGGGAUGGGGGUUGGGAAGGUUACAAGCCAGCGAUCAAGCACAAGACCUGCCCCGCAGCUCACUCCAACUCAACACACUUUCAGGAACAAAGAGGCAAAAACAUGCACAUUUUCUGCUCCCUCAAAAGAAACUCCAGCUCCACUCUUCAAGUUAACAUGAGCACAUUAUGCCUGAACAAUGCAGCAGAUGCACAU